GCCUGGCUAGCUCAAUUGGUUAGAGCGUACGACUCUUAAUCGUAAGGCUGCGAGUUCGAGUCUCGCGUCGGGCU